GAUGAAGAACGUAGCGAAAUGCGAUAAGUAAUGUGAAUUGCAGAAUUUAGUGAAUCAUCGAAUGUUUGAACGCACAUUGCGCCCGCCAGUAUUCUGGCGGGCAUGCCUGUCUGAGCGUCAUUUCAACCCUCAUGCCCCUAGGGCGUGGUGUUGGGGAUCGGCCAAAGCCCGCGAGGGACGGCCGGCCCCUAAAUCUAGUGGCGGACCCGUCGUGGCCUCCUCUGCGAAGUAGUGAUAUUCCGCAUCGGAGAGCGAUGAGCCCCUGCCGUUAAACCCCCAACUUUCCAAGGUUGACCUCAGAUCAGGUAGGAAUACCCGCUGAACUUAAGCAUAUCAAUAAGCGGAGGA
rnacentral:misc_RNA from 1 species